rnacentral:ncRNA from 1 species
AUUUAGUGCAACCCCAACCAAUGAUAGUUUGUGUCUGAAUACAUACAAAGGUAUACACGUCGGUGUGUGCCAACUACAUAGUAAUAAUGGUGGUGGUCGUGAUGACGGCAGUAUCAGUUUGAAUGAGCAUUUCGUGUGUUACUCAGUGAGUGGUGUUUUGAUGCAUGUGUCUGAGUGUAUUUUGUUUAGUGACUACCAUCUGUUUGUUGUAUGCGUUGAGUUGCGUGAUUUUGAUGUGAUUAUUAGUGAGUCAGCCGCCCACCGGCUUUCCCAUUCCAUCACUCAUACAAGUAUCAACUGGAUUCAACGUCGCUCACUGAAGGGCGACCGACGUUUUUAACGUGGUAUAAGUCACCGUCAAGUGAACUCUUCUGCAAAAACUAUUUCAACAUAUCACUUGCACACAUACUACGAAAGUAAAAAAACACAUCAACAACUAGCAGUAGUAUGAUUAAUUAUUGUACUUGUUGAUGUGUAUAUGUUUGUAGGUGUGUGUGUGUGUGUGUGUGUGUGAAAGUAGGGCAGUAGAUAAACGGCAAAACCAGCUAGGUGGCCAUUGUAUGUCAGCUAGAGCACGUGAGUCACCUUGAUGAGUGCCAAGUAGGCCACUUUUGGUAAGCGGAAAUGACAUUGUGGGAUGAACCAAACGUGCGCUUAAGGCGCCUAAUGCAACGCUCAUGAGAUAUCACAAAAGGUGCUGGUUGGUUCAUAUAGCAGGACAGUGGCCAUGAAAUUCGGAAACCGGUAAGGAGUGUGUAACAACUCACUUAUCUGCUGAAUCAACCAGCCCUGGAAAUCGAUAGCGCUCGAGCGUUCCACCUAUACCGUACCGUUGCUGCAGGCUGGCCGUAAGCAGAAUGAG